AGCGUUGUUCGGAUUCAUUGGGCGUAAAGGGUGUGUAGGUGGCGCCGUAAGUCGGGUGUGAAAUUUCGGAGCUUAACUCCGAAACUGCAUUCGAUACUGCGGUGCUUGAGGACUGGAGAGGAGACUGGAAUUCAUGGUGUAGCAGUGAAAUGCGUAGAGAUCAUGAGGAAGACCAGUGGCGAAGGCGGGUCUCUGGACAGUUCCUGACACUGAGACACGAAGGCCAGGGGAGCAAACGGG
rnacentral:rRNA from 1 species